UACGUAGGGUGCAAGCGUUAAUCGGAAUUACUGGGCGUAAAGCGUGCGCAGGCGGCUAUGCAAGACAGAAUGUGAAAUCCCCGGGCUCAACCUGGGAACUGCAUUUGUGACUGCAUGGCUAGAGUACGGUAGAGGGGGAUGGAAUCCGCGUGUAGCAGUGAAAUGCGUAGAGAUGUGGAGGAACACCGAUGGCGAAGGCAGGUCUCUGGGCAUUUAACGUGACACUGAGACACGAAAGCGUGGGUAGCAAACAGGG
rnacentral:rRNA from 1 species